UACGUAGGGUGCGAGUGUUAAUCGGAAUUACUGGGCGUAAAGCGUGCGUAGGCGGUUCCUCAAGUCGCGUGUGAAAGCCCCCGGCUCAACUGGGGAGGGUCACGCGAUACUGAUCGACUGGAAGGCAGGAGAGGGUAGUGGAAUUCCCGGUGUAGUGGUGAAAUGCGUAGAUAUCGUAAGGAAGACCAGUGGCGAAGGCGGGUCUCUGGACAGUUCCUGACGCUGAGGCACGAAGGUCAGGGGAGCAAACGGG
rnacentral:rRNA from 1 species